GACGCGUAUCCUCGCCCCUCAUUUGAAUGUUAGUGUUAGAACUAACGAAUCACAUUAUUCGCAAAAAAAACCUAACGAAUCACAUAGAUAUAUAUCCAAAGCACAAUCUUUGUAUUAUUCAUAGCCAUAACUAACUAACACAGAGCACUACACAGGUUGAAGUUUAUCAGGAUUUGACAUACAAUUUUGAUACUUAUGUGAAAAAUUGGAUCAUGUUGGACGAUUUGCUGUAUGUUGCCAAUGUGUUCUCACCCUUUGAAUACCAUCUUGGAGUCUUCCUUAUGUUUAUUUCAAUUGAAUGAGGUUUAGGUAUUUCAAUUAAAUUAGGUUUAGGUAAUUGAUGUGAUGCCUAAAUCAGUGGGGUAAAGCAUAAUUAGGGCAGGAGCAAAGGAAGCAAAACCUAUAACCAAUUUGCCUAGCAGGACUCACUAGAGUAAAGCAUACUUAGGGCAGGAGCAAAGGAACCAGCACCAAGGUGCUGCCCCCUGCAUCCACAUAGAUGUAAAAGGCGGCAAUCAGUUAGUUUUUAACCCUCAGGCCAGCACUUCACUGGGGCCCACCAUCUCCAGAAUAUUCCCAUUCUAUUUGUAUAUUCUCCCCCAGAUAAUUCCCAGAGUCUCUCUUUCCAAAAAAUUGCCUCAAAUCCUUCCCGAAUCUCUCCCCUUCACCCAAAAUUCUCCUCCAAAUUCGUCCUCUCGAUCCCAACCGAUGAAACAAACUCUAAUUACUCUAGGCCGACAUGAUUUCGAGAGUGGUGGAGGCAUGGACCGACAUGGAGGAGGUGGUGGAGGAGCCGCUGGCUGCCGGUUGAAACGCCACGUGCGGGUCGGUGACGCUUAGCGCCCAGGCUCGAGGGUCGACAAAGGCGGGAGGUGGUAAAGCGCCGCUCCAGGGCGUUGAGGCGUUGAGGCAUAGGACGAGGCCCUCCACGAAGGCGCUUGGUUGUCCGUUUCACCAUCACUUCCUUUAACUGGGCCGGUAGCUCCUUGAGCAUGAGGUUGAUGUCGUUGGCUUUGUCAUCGUCCACCAAUUGAUACCAGAUUGAAGAAACUCUAAUUAUCCUAGUUCUAAUAGGAAGUAAUACUGUGAAUUUUGAUGCUUUAUUGAUCGUGGGAGAGGCCCAAUAUAUAGUAGGGAUACCUUGGCUUACAAACCGGCUCAAAAGGAAAUACAAUCUGACUCUAAAACGGAUUCUAAUCUGCAAUCUGCACGUAAUAUGAACCUGAGCCAAUGAAAACUUAUAGUAAUAAUUGAAUCCUUGUCACUUUGGGCUGUAUCAGGGGGGUGGUGCAUCCAGGUUUGGAGCCCUCCGACCAUAUUUGGCUCCCCACGUACAGUCGAACUCAUGCUCUGCGCCACAGAAAAAGCCCAGUUGUUGUUGGACCUGACAUCACACAUCAUGGAUGGCGCUCCGUACCCCCGCCAUGGAAAAAGUCCUGGCCGCCACCUAACCCAUAUUCAUAGCGUCGCCAUAGCCGGAGCUCCUCAUCCCGGCAUCAUCGUCGUCCCCGAGCGCUACACACUAAAGUGAUUUGAGCCAACGCAUCCCUCUCCCAUCUCUCCAUUUUUUCUUUCCUCACCGUUUCCAGGUUUCCUCCUUUCUCACAUGAAGCACCGACUCACCCGCAGAGCCGCCACCGUGGAGCCUAGUUGGUUCUGCAGGCUGCAGGCUGGGGUGACGCGUGGCCAUAUCCUCAUUGCUUCGUUUAGAUUAAUACUCAACAAUCCUGAACUUUUUUUUUUAUCUCCAAUGCAUGAUGUGGAAAUUUAACUUAACAUUCUUUUGUGUCAAAUAGAUUUGCCUUGUAGACAAAAACUUGCUCUGCUUGUUCGCCCAUUUGGUUGUGAUUGAUGGGUCCAUGAUUGUUAGAGCUGGCUAAUCUAGCAUAAGGAAAACUAUAGACAACCAAAAUAACAACGCUUUGAUGUCUUAAAUUGUUGUUUAUUUACCGUAGUCAUUCACCCGGGGUUUUAACUAAUAACGCACCAUCUCUACAAAUGCUUGUUGUAGUACACCACCUUCAAAGAUAAUAUCACUUAAAAGUGAUAACUUAUAACUUAUAACUGUUGUUUUAACCUGAAUGACUCUCCUUCUCAUUGUGACAUAAGAUCUACAUUAUGGAUUGAGAUUUUGAAAUCUGCUGUGAAGGUUAUUAUGCCUGUAUACUCUUGCUUAUGUGGGUGAUUACCCAAAUAUGAAGCACAUUCAUCUACCCUUCAUGAAAUAUUUGGUUGUAAUGUGUUUAAUGGUUAUGCAUUUUAAGUGAAUUUUUUAAGCUGUGGUGAGAUUUUCUUUUGAUUGCCAAGUUUUGCAUUAAUAUUAUUCUUUCUGGAGAAAAGCUGGUGUCCUUCAUUUUUGAUUAGUGCUAUGCUAGUAUGUUAUGUUAUGCCUGCUCUUUCAGAA